rnacentral:tRNA from 1 species
AGGAGAAUAGUUUUAAUGGCAGAACUUCAGGCUUCAAACUUGACUGUGUUGGUUCAAAUCCAGCUUCUCCUG